GCGCAAGGCUAAGGAGGAAGCCCAGGCAGCGAGGGGAUGGAUCGCGCUCGCUGCCCGGGCUUCCUCUUUAGCCUUGCUCAGCCUCCUGUGGCUGGAGAGGCGCGCAAGGCUAAGGAGGAAGCCCCGGCAGCAAGGGGAUGGAUCGCGCUCGCUGCCCUGGCUUCCUCUUUAGCCUUGCGC